CGGCUUAUAAGCUGAAGCGAACAGGCCACAUGUCUCCUAGACUCCUACCCGUUCCGACACUCCCUGCCACAGCGGCUGAAGGACAUCCCCUAAAUCCCUAAUCGAUGGAUCUACCAUACAAUACAUAUGCAUUGUGAAGAGCAGACACUAAAGUGAAUUUGAUCACCAAGCGAAGCACCUGGAGUCCGGAGAUAUACACUUUGACAGGUCACAGAACCUCGAUGGAUCUACCAUACAAUACAUAUGCAUUGUGAAGAGCAGACACUAAAGUGAAUUUGAUCACCAAGCGAAGCACCUGGAGUCCGGAGAUAUACACUUUGACAGGUCACAGAACCUCUACAGCCACAAGACAGACAGGCC
rnacentral:lncRNA from 1 species